AUUGAACGCUGGCGGCAUGCCUUACACAUGCAAGUCGAACGGUAGCGCGGGGCAACCUGGCGACGAGUGGCGAACGGGUGAGUAAUGCAUCGGAACGUGCCCAGUAGUGGGGGAUAGCCCGGCGAAGGCCGGAUUAAUACCGCAUACGACCUACGGGUGAAAGCGGGGGACCGUAAGGCCUCGCGCUAUUGGAGCGGCCGAUGUCAGAUUAGGUUGUGGGUGGGGUAAAAGCCUACCAAGCCGACGAUCUGUAGCUGGUCUGAGAGGACGACCAGCCACACGGGGACUGAGACACGGCGCAGACUCCUACGGGAGGCAGCAGUGGGGAAUUUUGGACAAUGGGGGCAACCCUGAUACAGCCAUGCCGCGUGCGGGAAGAAGGCCUUCGGGUUGUAAACCGCUUUUGUCAGGGAAGAAACGCUCUGGGCUAAUACCCCGGGGUAAUGACGGUACCUGAAGAAUAAGCACCGGCUAACUACGUGCCAGCCGCCGCCGUAAAAC
rnacentral:rRNA from 1 species